UACGUAGGAUGCAAGCGUUGUCCGGAAUUAUUGGGCGUAAAGAGCGCGCAGGCGGUAUGACAAGUCAGAUGUGAAAGAGGCCGGCUUAACCGGCAAGGGUCAUUUGAAACUGUCAGACUAGAGUGCAGCAGAGGAUAGUGGAAUUCCCGGUGUAGUGGUGAAAUGCGUAGAUAUCGGGAGGAACACCAGUGGCGAAGGCGACUAUCUGGGACGUGACUGACGCUGAGACGCGAAAGCGUGGGGAGCAAACAGG
rnacentral:rRNA from 1 species